UAGCCUGAAGUGAUGAGCUUGGUUCAUGUCUCUUCUCUGAGAAUUAUGCUGGAGAUACUCCAUAGACUCUGAUCAGGCAC
rfam:Haliaeetus albicilla contig40374, whole genome shotgun sequence.